rnacentral:rRNA from 1 species
CCCCAUGGAGCUUUAAACCCAACCACACCCCUAACUCUUAUAGCCCCUCAACCUUUCCUGGGCCCUGUACGGUUGGUUUUAGGUUGGGGCGACCACGGAGUACAACAAAACCUCCACAAUGAACGGGACUACCCCCCUUAUCUAAGAGCCACACCCCUAAGAAUUAGAAUACUAACAUAAAAUGAUCCAUUAUUUGAUCAAUGAACCAAGUUACCCUGGGGAUAACAGCGCAAUCCAUUCCAAGAGCCCCUAUCGACAAA